rnacentral:rRNA from 1 species
UACGUAGGGCGCAAGCGUUGUCCGGAAUUAUUGGGCGUAAAGAGCUCGUAGGCGGCCUGUUGCGUCCGCUGUGAAAUCCCGGGGCUCAACCCCGGGCCUGCAGUGGAUACGGGCUGGCUAGAGGCAGGCAGGGGAGAACGGAAUUCCUGGUGUAGCGGUGAAAUGCGCAGAUAGUCAGGAGGAACACCGGUGGCGAAGGCGGUUCUCUGGGCCUGUACUGACGCUGAGGAGCGAAAGCGUGGGGAGCGAACAGG